rnacentral:rRNA from 1 species
CCUACGGGAGGCAGCAGUGGGGGAUAUUGCACAAUGGGGGGAACCCUGAUGCAGCGACGCCGCGUGGGUGAAGGAGCGUUUCGGCGCGUAAAGCCCUAUCGGCAGGGAAGAAGAAGGACGGUACCUGACUAAGAAGCCCCGGCUAACUACGUGCCAGCAGCCGCGGUAAUACGUAGGGGGCCAGCGGUAUCCGGAUUUACUGGGUGUAAGGGGGGCGCAGACGGCGGCGCAAGCCAGGAGUGAAAGCCCGGGGCCCAACCCCGGGACUGCUCUUGGAACUGCGCGGCUGGAGUGCAGGAGGGGCAGGCGGAAUUCCUGGUGUAGCGGUGAAAUGCGUAGAUAUCAGGAGGAACACCGGUGGCGAAGGCGGCCUGCUGGACUGCGACUGACGUUGAGGCCCGAAAGCGUGGGGAGCAAACAGGAUUAGAUACCCUUGUAGUC